rnacentral:tRNA from 1 species
GGGUGUGUAGCUCAGUUGGUAGAGCAACGGCCUCCAAAGCCGUGGGUCGGGGGUUCGAGCCCCUCCGCACUCG